GGGAGCAUAGCUCAGUUGGGAGAGCACCUGCCUUACAAGCAGGGGGUCACAAGUUCGAGCCUUGUUGUUCCCACCA
rnacentral:tRNA from 1 species